AGAGGUGAAAGAGGUAGAGAGAAAGAGAGACAAACAGAGGAGAGAGAGAAAGGUACAGAGAGGAAAUACAGGGGGAGAGACAGAGAUGGGAGAGAGCGCAGAAGAGAAGAAGGACAGAGCGCAGAAGAGAGAAAAGAGAGAUCUUAUGCAGGCGAUGUUUCAUCACAGCGAGGCGAACAGACAUCUGAGGCCGUGUCUUUUCCCACGAGCUCCACCGUGUCAUUAACGGGAUUAAUCAAAGCCCUAAUUUGAAAGUUCAGACUGGUCUCAUAUCGCAUCGUUUUGGAGGUGGACUUCUGUGAUGAGACACUGGGCCCAGGAGUACGGAUUCCUCUCCCAUGCUGCGUGGUAAAUGCCAUCCGUGCAAAACAUCCAUUGCCUUAUGGGGUCUACACUGGUUUUCAGGAAGUGGAAGACUGCGAGGACUUGUAAAUAGUGAAAGUAACAGGAACAAUAUAUUCUGAAAAUGAAUCAUACCCCGGACGUAUUCCACAUUUUGCUGUGUUACAGACUCAAUUCAAAAUGUAUUAAAUAUAUUUUUAUUCUCACCCAUCUACAAACAAUAUCCCAUAAAACAUGUCAAGUUGGUUGUUGAUCAUAGCUGGACAGCCAUUUUCAGGUGUUGCCAUGGAUUUUCAAGCCGAUUUAAGUUAAAACGGUAACUAGACCACUCAGGAACAUUCAAUGUCGUCAUAGUAAGUAACUCCAGUGUAUAUUUGGCCUUGUGUUUUAGGUUAUUGUCCUGAUGAAAGCUGAAUUUGACUCCCAGUGCAUGUUGGAAGGCAGGCUGAACCAGGUUAUCCUAUAGGAUUUUGCCCGUGCUUAGCUCUAUUCUGUUUAAUUUAACCCCCCCCCCCCCCCCACAAAAACUCCCUAGUCCAUGACGAUGACAAGCAUAGACAUAACAUGAUGCAGCCACCAUCAUACUUGAAAAUGUGAAGAGUUGUACUCAGUAGUGUGUUGUGUUGGAUUUGCCCCAAACAUAACACUUUGUAUUCAGGACAGAAAGUACAUUUCUUUGCCACAUUUGUUUUGCAGUUUUACUUUAGUGCCAUAUUGCAACAGGAUGCAUGUUUUUGAAUAUUUUUAUUCUGUACAGGCUUCCUUCUUUUCACUCUGUCGUUUAUGUUAGUAUUAUGAAAUAACUGCAAUAUUGUUGAUCCAUCCUCAGUUUUCUCCAAUCAAAGCCACUCUGUUACUGUUUUAAAGUCACCAUUGGCCUCAUGGUGAAAUCCUUGAGUGGUUUCCUUCCUGUCCGGCAACUGAGUUAGGAAGGAUGCCUGUAUCUUUGUAGUGACUGGGUGUUUUACACACCAUCCAAAGUGUAAUUAAAUACUUCCCCAUGCUCAA